ACGCAAGUAUGAACUUAAGGAUUGACGGGAUCCCCCUCAGGGGGAUCAUGUUGUUUAAUUCGAAGAUACACAAACCUUACCAGGUCUUGACAUUAUCCUGCGAAGCUAUAGAAAUAUAGGGGAGGUUAUCAGGAUAACAGGUGGUGCAUGGUUGUCGUCAGCUCGCGUCGUGAGAUGUUAGGUUAAGUCCUAAAACGAGCGCAACCCUUGUCGUUAUUACCAGCUCGUUAUGGUGGGGACUUUAGCGAUACUGCCAAUGAAAAAAUGGAGGAAGGUGAGGAUACGUCAAAUCAUCAUGCCCCUUAUGAUCUGGGCUACAAACGUGAUACAAUGGCUAUUACAAAGAGCAGCUGAAACGUGAGUUGUUAGCUAAUCCAAAAAAAUAGUCUCAGUUCGGAUUGAAGUCUGCAACUCGACUUCAUGAAGUUGGAAUCGCUAGUAAUCGCGAAUCACAUGUCGCGGUGAAUCGUUCUCGGGGUUUGUCACACCGCCCGUCAACCAUGAAAGUUGACAAUACCCAAAACCAGUCGCUUAACUACUUCGGUAGAGGGAGCUGUCUAAGGUAGGGUCGAUGAUUGGGGUUAAGUCGUAACAAGGUAUCCCUACCGGAAGGUGGGGAUGGAUCACCUCCUUUCUAAGGAAAUGUCGUAUCAUGAUCAUCUUCAGUUUUGAAAGACUUAGAGUAGAUAAGUUUUCCUUUGGCGUAGAGGAAGGGCCUAUAGCUCAGUUGGUAGAGCACACGCUUGAAAGCUGCGGUCAAGGUUCAAGU
rnacentral:rRNA from 1 species